GGAUUAGAUACCCUGGUAGUCCACGCCCUAAACGAUGAGUGCUAGUUGUCGGCAUGCAUGCAUGUCGGUGACGCAGCUAACGCAUUAAGCACUCCGCCUGGGGAGUACGGCCGCAAGGUUAAAACUCAAAGAAAUUGACGGGGGCCCGCACAAGCGGUGGAGCAUGUGGUUUAAUUCGAAGCAACGCGCAGAACCUUACCCACGUUUGACAUCCCGUGCUACCUGGAGAGAUCCAGGGUUCUUCGGACACGGUGACAGGUGCUGCAUGGCUGUCGUCAGCUCGUGCCG
rnacentral:rRNA from 1 species